AACGCGAAGAACCUUACCAGGUCUUGACAUCCUCUGACAAUCCUAGAGAUAGGACGUCCCCUUCGGGGGCAGAGUGACAGGUGGUGCAUGGUUGUCGUCAGCUCGUGUCGUGAGAUGUUGGGUUAAGUCCCGCAACGAGCGCAACCCUUGAUCUUAGUUGCCAGCAUUCAGUUGGGCACUCUAAGGUGACUGCCGGUGACAAACCGGAGGAAGGUGGGGAUGACGUCAAAUCAUCAUGCCCCUUAUGACCUGGGCUACACACGUGCUACAAUGGGCAGAACAAAGGGCAGCGAAACCGCGAGGUUAAGCCAAUCCCACAAAUCUGUUCUCAGUUCGGAUCGCAGUCUGCAACUCGACUGCGUGAAGCUGGAAUCGCUAGUAAUCGCGGAUCAGCUGCCGCG
rnacentral:rRNA from 1 species